CCUACGGGUGGCAGCAGUGAGGAAUAUUGGUCAAUGGGCGCGAGCCUGAACCAGCCAAGUAGCGUGAAGGAUGACUGCCCUACGGGUUGUAAACAUCUUUUAUAAAGGAAUAAAGUGAGGAACGUGUGCCUUUUUGUAUGUACUUUAUGAAUAAGGAACGGCCAACUCCGUGCCAGCAGCCGCGGUAAGACGGAGGGUCCGAGCGUUAUUCGGAUUUAUAGGGUUUAAAGGGAGCGUAGAUGGGUUGUUAUGUCAGUUGUGAAAGUUUGCGGCUCAACCGUAAAAUUGCAUGUGAUACUGGCAGUCUUGAGUACAGUUGAGGUAGGCGGAAUUCUUGGUGUAGCGGUGAAAUGCUUAGAUAUCACGAAGAACUCCGAUUGCGAAGGCAGCUUACUAAACUGCCACUGACAUUGAUGCUCGAAAGUGUGGGUAUCAAACAGGAUUAGAUACCCGAGUAGUC
rnacentral:rRNA from 1 species